rnacentral:snoRNA from 1 species
AAGCCAUGGUGUGGGCACCUUCUUAAUAAAUCAUUAUAUCUCUCCCAUACAUCGUAAAGUGUCUCUAAAUCCAUCUGCACAAAAGAAGAAAUAUCAUUACGCAACUU